rnacentral:rRNA from 1 species
CCUACGGGAGACAGCAGUGGGGAAUAUUGCGCAAUGGGCGAAAGCCUGACGCCGCGACGCCGCGUGAGGGAUGAAGGUCUUCGGAUCGUAAACCUCUGUCAGCAGGGAAGAACGGUCACUGUGCUAAUCAGCAGUGAAUUGACGGUACCUGCAAAGGAAGCACCGGCUAACUCCGUGCCAGCAGCCGCGGUAAUACGGAGGGUGCGAGCGUUAAUCGGAAUUACUGGGCGUAAAGCGCUCGUAGGCGGUAUGUCAAGUCAAGGGUGAAAUCCCCGCGCUCAACGUGGGAACUGCCUUUGAAACUGGCAAACUGGAGUGUGUGAGAGGAUAGUGGAAUUCCAGGUGUAGGAGUGAAAGCCGUAGAUAUCUGGAGGAACAUCAGUGGCGAAGGCGACUAUCUGGCACAUAACUGACGCUGAGGAGCGAAAGCGUGGGUAGCAAACAGGAUUAGAUACCCUUGUAGUC